rnacentral:lncRNA from 1 species
CACAUUUGCCUCUCCUUUAUGGCACUGCAAAAAGCACAGCUCAUCACAAAUAACAACAUUAAUGAGAUUCUAUUGGGAUUGCAAUACAUUUUUCUACUGGGACCACUUGGACACUACCAUUUGCCUAAUUAUUCCUCUCCCAAUUAAUUCGACUGGCGGUUGCAGACCCUCAGUUACAUAAAUAUUCUCCUGUGUUUGCUCAAUUAAGUGGAAAGAUUCCUGUAACCAAAUAUUUUAACAUGGGGAUAAAAACAGCUGCAUAACCUACACUCAAUACAGAAAAUAUUGGAGCUCUCUAAAGAAAAAAACUAACAAAGCUCUUCAGAAUUCUUCCCCCCCCCCAAUGAAAUUCACAGAAUGGAAUUCUCUCAGUAGUAAAAGGAACUCAACCCUGCAAAAGACAAACUCACCACAGCUGACCACAGGGGACACUUCAAGUAUUUUAUCAAUGCAAAAGCUUUCAGCUGUGCCAGUUCAGACUGCAAUUAAGAAAAAAUCCUGCCAAUUAAUCAAAGAGCAUCAUAAGAGGUAUAAAGUCCAUUCUGAAGGACACAUGCCAGUUAAUGUAAGAUUCUCGUUUGAGUGUCCAAUA